GUGUGCGUGAACGAGAGGAGAAGCAAGCGAGGACGAGAGUGGAAAGAGUGAGAAGUUUGCCAUAGUGUAACACAAGUAUAGCGGAUCUUUUAGUGGGUAAAACACUCACAUAAGUCUGGAAGUGUUUAUAGACGGACGGCAAGUGAGUCUUAGUGUAACAUUCAACAGUGGUGUAGUUGUGUUCGUGAACUUCGAGAACUCUGACCGAGAGUUUCCCGCGAGUGAAAGCCAUAUGCUAGUCAACAAGACCUAGCACUACUGGAUUGUGAAGGACUUUGCAUGAGGGUAGCCUGAUCGGCUACUUAUCCACGCACCAUUCAACUAACUCCGAGCUCCGGAUCUCCACGACCAACAGUUAGGCCUGUCGCGAUAUUCAAUAAAUCAAUUAAUCGCAUGAUAAUUAAAAUUAGCGCGAUCAUUUUUCUGGCCGCGAUAAAUGCCAUUUGCAUGCUUGUUUGUUUUCCUCCUCUCUCUCUCUCUCGGGUCCUUAGAGUAACGAUGAGUGAACCCUGAUGUCAGUCACUUGUCAGUCGCAUGGUGUGUGGCGAGGCGGGACUACUGGCGUAGCCUACCACAGAGUGCAGCUAAAGAGCCGCGUGAGAAGUAUACCGGUAGGCACUAGGCAGAGAGAAAGCGAGUUCGAGUAGGCUACAAAUAAAGACAAAAAAGAUGGAAUUCACCUUUGGCUAAGCCACACCCUAGAAUGUAGAUUGACCAAUCACAGCGCAGCCAACAACGAGCUCCCAUAGAGGUCCGACACUUUUUCACAUCGCUCCAUUGACUUUAAUGCAGGCGUCUCAUAUUUUCGGUCUCUGCAGGUAGUUUGAUCAAAAAUAUGGUUAAACGUUGUGCCUGGGGCAUUUGUAAUACAGAUACGCGUUUCCCAGAAAGGUUGGAGGGGGGUGUCCGUUUUUUUCCCCUUCCCAAAACCGAAGUCAAAUCCUGACAAGUGUCGUCUUUGGAUUAAACUCUGUGGACGUCCUCACAGUCAGCUAAACCCCUCGAGGAUCAACAAGCACACUUUUGUGUGCUCUAAGCAUUUUGUUAAUGGAGAACCAAGUCCCGAAUCCUCAAAUCCAGUCCCUGCUAUUCCUGGUGGAGGAAGUGCAGUCAAAAGUCGAAGACUGCCAACUAAGAGAGGCAUCUCCACAGUAUCAGGCUCAUCAGUGCAGGACAUCACAUCAGAGGAGUUGUCCAUGGUCAUUGAAACAGAAAACCAGAUUCACACAGCAGACCAGAUUCCCACAGAGGAUCCACACCAGGAUCGCACAGAGGACCAAGAAGAAAUAAAUCAAUUAAAGAGGCAACUUGCCGAUAAAGAAAAAGAAAAUGCUUUGCUGAGGGAAGAGAUUCAAACUCACUCAUCUCACUCACCCACACCCACACAUUACCAACUCACACCAGAGACUAUAUCUAACUGCAAUGUGCCUGAGUACUUUAAGUACAGCUACAGGUUUUAGUUAUGAUGAGUUCAACAAGCUGUGUGCUUUUUUUAGGAUACCCAGUACUUCAACGGAUACACAAACACUUAGACCUGUGACAUACCACAGAGUAGAUCAGCAAAUCAACCUCAUGCCUUUAAGACAACAGUUCCUACUUGUGCUUAUGAAGCUGAGGCAAAACUUUGAUCUGAAAGAGCUGGCCUUCAAAUUUCAAAUUCCAGAACGAACUGUUAGCACUUUAUUCAAUUCAUGGAUUGAUUUCAUGUAUGGUAGGCUAGGCAACAUGUCUAUUUGGCCACACGGACACAAUAACAGAAAACAUGCCUGACAACUACAGGGCAGAGUUCCCAACAACAUUUGCUAUUCUUGAUGGUACAGAGAUUAAGACAGAAAAACCAACAUCACUGUUACUUCACUGUUACUACUGUUAAGUCAGACUUACUCAAACUACAAAUCUGCCAACACACUUAAAUGUCUUAUUGCCUGUGAUCCUCGUGGUGCCAUUAUCUUUGUAUCCACACUUUACACGGGAUCAAUCUCAGACCAAGAGCUAUUUAGACAAUGUGGGAUCAAAGAUUUACUGAAAGGUCUGCUUCAGUGUGGCUAUCUUAACCCUUUGCAGACGGCCCAUUCUAAUUUCGGUACCCCAGUACCGAUGACGUUCAGUCUAAUAACUCCGCC